rnacentral:misc_RNA from 1 species
GGUGGCUCUUAUAUUUCUUCUACUCUUCUUUUCUCCUCUCUCCUUGUACCGGCGAGCAAAAUGACGACGUCGUUCGGAACUACGGCGACACCGGCAGCAUCUGCUUCACCGGCGGUAUUUCCGGCCAAAAAUGCCCCGAAAUCCUUGACUUUGUUACCUUUCUGCCAUCAUCGCCAUUACAAUCAUUUGCGUUCCAAAUUAUCUAUCACGCCCAAACUCCGAUUCUCCUGUAAGGGUCUACAAUCUAAUUGGAAUCAUUCAGUCGUAACUAGAGCCCAAUCGAAUGAGGUUGCUCUUGGUGGAUCUUCAAAUAAUGCAGCUACUCCUAUCACUCAGUCAGAAGAGGUGAAAUCACCAAGUGAGACUUCAUCUGCAACUUCGGUAUCAGAGGAAGCAAUAUCUAACUUUAUUAGCCAAGUUUCAAGCCUUGUCAAGCUAGUUGAUUCUAGGGAUGUUGUGGAGCUGCAGUUAAAACAAUUUGAUUGUGAAAUUCUAAUCCGUAAGAAGGAGGCACUACCACAACCACCUGCUCCUGUUCCUGCACAAGCUCCAUUUAUACAAUCAUAUCAUGUACCAUCUAUACAAUCUAAUGCAUCUCCUCCACCUGCACCUGCACCUUCACCUGCUCCAAUUCAAACCCCUGCACCGUCUCCAGCUGCAGCAAAGUCAGCUGAUUCAUCUCUUCCUCCGCUCAAAUCCCCAAUGGCAGGGACAUUCUAUAGAAGUCCAGCACCCGGUGAACCAGCAUUUGUGAAGGUCGGAGACAAAGUGCAGAAGGGUCAAGUUCUUUGCAUUAUUGAAGCGAUGAAGUUGAUGAACGAAAUAGAGGCUGAUCGAUCAGGAACCAUCGUUGAGGUUGUUGCUGAAGAUGGAAAACCUGUCAGUGUUGAUACUCCUCUGUUUGUGAUCAAGCCAUAGAACCGUUCGAGUAAGACCCGGGAAACAAUAUGCAGAGGAACUUGGCAAGUGUUUGUUUACCUUGGGCUUAUGAUAUUUUGCAGUAUUUCAGUUUCAGUGAGUAUGUUUGCAAUGACUGGUAGCGUGAUGGAAAUUGGAAUAGACGAUUCUGGUUAAAACUCAUUAGGAGAGUUUAGUGUUUAAUCUGAGGUAUUCUUUGGCAUUUUAUUGUGGGAUUCUAGCUUACUCAUUUUUUCCUUUUUCAGUUUGACAUAUUUAUGUGAGGUUUGUACCUCGAUAACAAUCUCAUCGCAUUAUGAUAAGGAUUGUAUGCAGUUUUGAUUAUUUAGCCCCUGGCCAAU